GGAGAUCCCGCUGGCGGUGCCUAAGAAGACCCGGCUGUAUGUGGAGCAGACGCAGCGCGAGCGCGAGCAGGUGCGGGUGUGGGGCGGUGUGGGGGUCUACCCGCCGCGUGGCUUACAAAGCGGCAGGCACGAACAGCGGGCAGCGUGUUGCACUGCAGCGGAUAACCAGAGCUUGCUUGUGCAUGGAGGGUGGCAACCCGGCUCCUCUCCUGCAUUAUUCUGCCGGCACCAGCACCUAAACCAUUCCGUGCACCACGGCCUGUACAGUUCCUCUCAUUUCUGCUCCCUCCGCAAUCGCGCGCAUUUACACAACCACCGCCAACGCUGCGUCCUUUCACACCGCCAUUGGUUUACUAUUCAUGCCGUGCACCCAUGCCUGGCACCCACCGCCGCCACUUCCGCCACGACCACCCCCUGCAGGCUGCGGACAUGCACCGCACUUUCCAGCGGGACCUGGCCAAACUGAGGCUCACCACCGCACGGGCGUAUGUCAAGGUCCUCACCGAUGGCCAGGUGAGCAUGUCGUCCCGUUCGCCUAUGCAUACAUAUGCACGCUAUGCCGAUCCACGCUCGCAAGAGCAUCUCGUGAUAUAUGGCGACCGCAGCAGCCAAACGGGGGUUGUCGGGGGGCUGGGCAGGCCUCGCAGCAUGCGCCUCACGCCUCCGAAACACAACGCUGCUGAUCAGUCCACCUCCAUAUCCUCGGUUGGCCGCGUAUCUCUCGUGGGUAGCACAAUACCGAAAGCCGCUGCCAACUUGUCUUCCCAUUCCGUGGGUGACAGGUUUGCGGUAGGCUCGCUAGUGACAGGGUGAAUGAACGUGUAGGUCGUUUUGUCCCACUCGAUGUCGCCCUUGUCGUCCGAGAAAUUGGCUGGAAUCCUGCAUCCGCCGUAACAUGCACGGAGUGCCGCGGCGUUCCAGCCAUUGGCUAUGGCCGCGACGCCAAUCUGCAUAGAGCAGGAGCAUGCGCGUCACACAGCUAGCGAAAAGCUGCUGUGCGUUCAUUUCUUACAUUUUCCAGUUGAUAUGCAUCAUUAUGCUCCUGGGAAAUCUUCCCCGGCUUCUUGCGCCGAAGAACAACAAGUUGUUUCGGUGGCAUGUCGGAAAACUGCCGACUUCGUGCAAUGCGGGCGUACCAAAGACGGUGUAUUGGUAUGAAGUAGCAUGUAUGUACCAACAAGACUGAUGCGCAUGCGAUUGUACUGAUGCAAUUCUGGCCAUUUAUGCCCCAUGCCGCCGCCUGACACGCUUACAGGGCG
rnacentral:lncRNA from 1 species